rnacentral:tmRNA from 1 species
AAUGGUUUCGACGGGGGUAGUUGAGGCCGUGGCAGCGAGCGGUGGUCCCAGAGGCACCUAAAAAAGCUGGAAACUUUAAAUUAAACGCAGAAGAUAAUUUUGCAUUAGCAGCCUAAUUUAGGCUGCUCGUUCAACCAGGGUUCCCGCACCUUGGGAUUGGGCGUCAUUUAGCGGGGUACGUCACUGCCAAAGCUUUGAGGCAGCUGACGCAUUAUGAAGCUACUGAAGCUGCAAGCCUGUCUGUAGGCGUGCAGCAGAGGGAAUGUUAAACUACAGACUGCGCUCGGAGAAGCUGUGACCAAGAUGCUUUCGGACAGGGGUUCGAUUCA